AGCCGGGUCGUCUAGCGGCCAAGGAUGGUGGGCUCUGGACCCACUGACCCCGGUUCGAAUCCGGGCCCGGCUACCA
rnacentral:tRNA from 5 species